rnacentral:rRNA from 1 species
CCCUUAGAUGUUCUGGGCCGCACGCGCGCUACACUGAUGCAUUCAACGAGUCUAAAACCUGCUCUGAUAGGGGUGGGUAAUCUUUUGAAUGUGCAUCGUGAUUGGGAUAGAUGAUUGCAAUUUUUCAUCUUCAACGAGGAGUGCCUAGUAAACGCAAGUCAUCAGCUUGCAUUGAUUACGUCCCUGCCCUUUGUACACACCGCCCGUCGCUCCUACCGAUUGAAUGAUCCGAUGAAUAUCAUGGAUUGAGGAUGCAAGCAGGUUCGCCUGUCUUCAUCUUCGAGAAGUGAAGUAAAUCUUAUCAUUGAGAGGAAGGAGAAGUCGUAACA